CCCUCUCAUUUUUUGUUUCAUUUUUGCUAUUCAAACACUAAAGACACCCUAAGCUGUCACACUUAAGCACCCACCCCAUUUCUUCAUCUUCCUCAACCCAACCCCCCGCCAGUCUCCGCCAGUCGACCAUGAAAUCAAACGACCCCAUCGGCUUCUGAAUCAGUCACCAUCUCCGUCAAGCAGUCACCACGCCCUCCUGCCCGCGAACCAGCGCCAAACGAUGACUAGCAACGAGCAGUCACCCCUCGCCUUCUCUUCUCUCUUGGACUGCCAUCGACGACCAGCAACAAGUUGCGUCGUCGACUUCUUGGUCCGCUUCCUCACAUAAAUGACCCUCGUCGUCGGAACCAAACGACCAGGCUGCUUCUGCUGCGUCGACUUCUCCUUCCGUCAUUGUUUUUGUCAAAUACGCCGCAAGAUAGUGAGGACUAUCUCCCCCGCCAUGAACCGACUGAAAAAGAUGAGAGCUAUAUCUGGUUAGUAAGGUUUAAGUUGGCAUGCGCUUGUUAAUUAAUUUCUUCUUUGUAAUCCUUUUUGUGUUUUUAAGAUUUUCUUAAUCCCAUUUGAGACUUCAUACGUCUUAUGCUUCGGAGUUUUGGUAGUUUUUCUUUGAUUAAACCUAACGUUACUUCAAGAAAAUGUGUUUUAAAGUUUGUCUUGGAACUACUCUAUUUUUAUACAUUCACCGUGUUAUUUAAUUUUGUAGUUCUGUUACUACAAUUAUAAAUCCAUGUAUUCCUGUAAUUGUUUGGUUUUAUUUGCUAUAGGUUUCAUUUUGUGUAUUGUUUGGUUCCUUGUCUUUGUUGUUUAUCAUAUGAUUUCAGUUUGUAUUUCGAUUCAAUUAAUUGUGAUUCAUAUUGUUUCAAUUUGCUUUUAUUAUUCAUCAUUUAAUUUGAAUUGUUGAUGAAUUUAAUUAGGAAUUUGGUUAUAGCUAUGGUAAAUUGGUGUUUUUUUUGAUAAUUUUGGAGGGAUGGGGUAUGAUGGUAAUUUCAAUAAUUUCGGGGUAUUUUGGCGAAUUGAUUAAAUGUUGGCCCAUAACUUUUAAUUAAAAUAAGAGAGGACAAGACUUGUGGGAGCAUAAUGAUCUAAAGUAAAAAAGAGAAUUAAUAAUGUGCUCCAUUGAAAAGAGGGGAUUGUGGGGCCCGCGUUGACUGCUUUUUACUUAAUUGAAAAUCAGAAAUAGUAUGAGUAAUAAUAAAAGGGGUAGUAAUAAUAGUAAAAGGGUAGAGGAAAGGGGUCUUGCUUUAGGUAUAUAAUAAGACUCAUUUUACACUUAAAGAGGGGGCAAUUAGAGAAAAAAAAUAUUUCAAUACCAGUGGGAAAUGAAAAUUUUAGAACUUAAAAUUCCGUCUUUGAGAAUUAAAAACUGAAAGUGAAGUCUUUAUUUACUACUAAAAAUCAGAAUACUGUUACUGCUUCUUGGUUUGCAUUCAGCACUGCUGAUUUUCGGAUUAAAUUCUUGGGUUUCUAGUAUUGGUGUUGCUGUUGGAUUAUUUUUGAAUCUGUUAUUGGAUGUGGAAUCAUCUCUGUUGGUUUUAAAAUCUCUCCCUGGGUGUUCAAUUUGCUACUGUUGUUGCUGUUUACUAUUGUUACUGCUACUGCUGAUCCUUUUUUUUCUCCUGUCCUAUUUCUCUAAUCCAGGUAUUUACUUGAGUUAAAUACUGGUGUAGCUGCGCAGUUGAGCAUGAGUUGAAAUCCGAAGACAUUUUAUUAUGUAAUAUUGUACUUCUAGUUUAAUAGAUAAAAUGAUAAUUAGUUAUGUAAUUUUUUUGUUUAUAAUUCAACAGAAAUGCAUUAGGUAGUUUGUACUUAGCAGAAGCUUUAUUUGUUUAAAACUGCAAUUUGUAGUUGCUUAGUUAUAUAUUUAAUAUAGUUAUGUGAUUUGUAGGAA
rnacentral:lncRNA from 1 species